ensembl:lncRNA
GAGGAGAGGAGGAGGAGGUGGAGGAGGAGGAAAGAGAAGAGGAGGAGGAAGAGAAGGAUGAAAGAGAAGAGGUGUUGAGAGGAGAGGAGGAAACAGAGAGGCAGGAGACUGACUUUCACUCUCCCAGCAGGCAAUGGGGUGUGACAUCACCGCCGGCCUCCUCCUCUGAGGAGGAGCCCAGAGGCCAUCCAAUGAGAAUGCUGGACCAUGUGAAAGAGGAGGAGUUUGAGACGUUCUCCCUCCUGAGUGGGCCAAUCAGAGAGCUGUAUGCUGAAACAGAGCAUCAGGGGACAUGUAGUCAAGAAGAGGAGGCGGAGCUUCUGCUGUCGGAGCUCGUUAAUAGGACGAAGUCUGCCCUCUGUCAGAAAGAACAAACACCCAUAGACAAACACCAUCACGAACACACACACCCCGACACACUCCAUCACGAGCAAACACACUCCGACACACACCAUUAUGAACACACACACUCCGACACACACCAUUAUGAACACACACAACCCGACACACACCAUUAUGAACACACACACCGGUUCAGGGGAGGAGGGCUCCAUAACGCGACCGCAGAGAACGUGCCAGGUGCAGUGAUGAAGAUGAGGCUGCUGGAGGCCGCUGAGAGGGUCCACCACUCUUUAGCAUCCCUAGUAACCCUGGUUACACAAGCACCCCAAAUCUAGCGUCUCACACACACACUAAGAAUCCCAUAUAAACACACACAUUCUGAGACACAUACACACACUAAGACACAAACGCGCACGCACACACACGUAGACUGAGAUACACACACUCUGAGACCUACACACACAAACACACACAGAGACACACACCGACACACACGCACACACACUCUGAGACACACAUCCUGAGACAAAACACACACAAACAAUCUGAGACACACAAACACAUAACCUGAGACGUUUACAUGACACUCAAGAAAGUGAUAUCAAAUAAAAAAGUACUGAUAAGAAAAAGGCCUCUUUUACGGUCAUUUACAAGCUGGUGAAUGAUACACCCUAUAAUAAUAUCAUCUUUGAUAUCAGG